UACGUAGGGUCCGAGCGUUGUCCGGAAUUAUUGGGCGUAAAGAGCUCGUAGGCGGUCUGUCGCGUCGGCUGUGAAAACCUGGGGCUCAACUCCAGGCCUGCAGUCGAUACGGGCAGACUAGAGUUCGGUAGGGGAGACUGGAAUUCCUGGUGUAGCGGUGAAAUGCGCAGAUAUCAGGAGGAACACCAGUGGCGAAGGCGAGUCUCUGGACGAUUCCUGACGCUGAGGCACGAAAGCUAGGGGAGCAAACGGG
rnacentral:rRNA from 1 species